rnacentral:rRNA from 1 species
GGCAAAGCUCAAUUUGAAAUCUGGCACUUCGGUGUCCGAGUUGUAAUUUGAAGAUUGUAACCUUGGGGUUGGCUCUUGUCUAUGUUUCUUGGAACAGGACGUCACAGAGGGUGAGAAUCCCGUGCGAUGAGAUGCCCAAUCCUAUGUAAGGUGCUUUCGAAGAGUCGAGUUGUUUGGGAAUGCAGCUCUAAGUGGGUGGUAAAUUCCAUCUAAAGCUAAAUAUUGGCGAGAGACCGAUAGCGAACAAGUACAGUGAUGGAAAGAUGAAAAGAACUUUGAAAAGAGAGUGAAAAAGUACGUGAAAUUGUUGAAAGGGAAGGGUUUGAGAUCAGACUCGAUAUUUUGUGAGCCUUGCCUUCGUGGCGGGGUGACCCGCAGCUUAUCGGGCCAGCAUCGGUUUGGGCGGUAGGAUAAUGGCGUAGGAAUGUGACUUUGCUUCGGUGAAGUGUUAUAGCCUGCGUUGAUGCUGCCUGCCUAGACCGAGGACUGCGAUUUUAUCAAGGAUGCUGGCAUAAUGAUCCCAAAACCGCCCGUCUUGAAACCACGGACCAAGGAGUCUAACGUCUAUGCGAGUGUUUGGGUGUUAAACCCCGUACGCGUAAUGAAAGUGAACGUAGGUGAGGGCUCUUUUGAGUGCAUCAUCGACCGAUCCUGAUGUCUUCGGAUGGAAUUUGAGUAAGAGCUAGCUGUUGGGACCCGAAAG